GACGAACGCUGGCGGCGUGCUUAACACAUGCAAGUCGAACGAAAAGGCCCUGCUUUUGUGGGGUGCUCGAGUGGCAAACGGGUGAGUAACACGUGAGUAACCUGCCCUUGACUUUGGGAUAACUUCAGGAAACUGGGGCUAAUACCGGAUAGGAGCUCCUGCUCCAUGGUGGGGGUUGGAAAGUUUCGGCGGUUGGGGAUGGACUCGCGGCUUAUCAGCUUGUUGGUGGGGUAGUGGCUUACCAAGGCUUUGACGGGUAGCCGGCCUGAGAGGGUGACCGGCCACAUUGGGACUGAGAUACGGCCCAGACUCCUACGGGAGGCAGCAGUGGGGAAUAUUGCACAAUGGGCGGAAGCCUGAUGCAGCAACGCCGCGUGCGGGAUGACGGCCUUCGGGUUGUAAACCGCUUUCGCCUGUGACGAAGCGUGAGUGACGGUAAUGGGUAAAGAAGCACCGGCUAACUACGUG
rnacentral:rRNA from 1 species